UACGGUCAGUGGGGCGAGCUGCGGGCGCGCGCACGUCUAGAAAGAGAGGCACCGGCGGCGGCGACGGGGCCGCACGGACGCGCACGCAGGCACGCGCAGGUAAAGGGACACAUCACAGUUUUGACUACAGCAGAAUUAAGGAUUCAGAGAAACCACAUCUGCGAGGACAGGACUGGCCGUGUACUUUACAGAUGAGGACACUGAAGUGGGAGGUGCAUGCUUCACCAGGUGGCCGAGCCGGAGGAGCAGCCCGGGAGGUGUGGCAUUUUGAGCUGCCCACCCCACCGCAGAGUUCUCCUCUCCCCACAUUGCUCAGGUGGCCCCGUGCCCAGUCCAGGGAGGAAGCCAGCCACAGUUACCCCAUCCCCCUUUCCCAGUAGGCCUUGUCCCAGCCUCCCUUACACCUAGGGGAGGCAGGAGGCCCUUAGGGGUCUGGAAAAGUCUGUGGAGCAGGAGGGGUGGGGGUGGUUCUUGGAGAAGCUUCUGUGUGCUGACGGAGGGAGAGAGCCACGCUAGGGCAAGGCCUUUCUGGCCACUACUGCCGAGCCCCACCCUGCCUUGAAAUUUGCUCAUGAGGGAGGCCUGUGCCAUCUUGUGACCGCAAACAAGCAGACGGCAAAAGACAAAAGCCAGUCUGCCGGCGAUGGCAGGAGGACGACAGUGAUCGGGCCCACGGUGACAGCGCUUGGGGUCCAUCGGACAUGCCUGUUCGGUGGUGGAGCCGCAGCAGGACACGGCGGAGGUCAGCCUGGGCUUCCCCUCGAUGGCCUUUGGGGACAGAAGGAAGGUGGCAGUGAAGACCCUCAUCAACCAACCCCAAUGCCCCGGUCUAUACCCGCUGCUUUACACACUCAGCUCCAUUUCCUAUCCGUAACCUCCUCGAUAUGGUUUGGCUGUGUCCCCAACCAAAUCUCAUCGUGAAUUGUAGCUCCCAUAAUGUCCACAUGUUGUGGGAGGGACCUGGUGGGAGGUAAUUGAAUCAUGGGGGUGGGUCUUUCCUGUGCUGUUCUUGUGAUAGUGAAUAAGUCUCACGAGACCUGAUGAUUUUGUAAAGGGCAGUUCCCCUGCACACGCUCUCUUGCCUGCCACCAUGUAAGACGUGACUUUGCUCCUCAUUUGCCUUCUGCCAUGAUUGUGAGGCCUCCCUAUCCAGGUGGAACUGUGAGUCCAUUAAACCUUUUUUCUUCAUAAACUA